GUCCAAAGAGUCUCCAGUAGACAAUUUGCCAACCUUUAAGUUAAGGUCCUUCGGCAGAUUAGGCGUUGAGUAAGCCUGCCACAAACCUACUCCAUACAGAUCAAAAACCUUAGCCAUCUGCUAGGGAAUGCAGAUGUUUUCCUUGUCUUGUUUGAGAUUUGUUGCUUACUAUGAGAUUUCAUUAGGACCACCAGUGAUCAUUAGCAUCUACAGAG
rnacentral:misc_RNA from 1 species